rnacentral:rRNA from 1 species
GACGAACGCUGGCGGCGUGCUUAACACAUGCAAGUCGUACGGUAAGGCCCUUUCGGGGGUACACAAGUGGCGAACGGGUGAGUAACACGUGAGUAACCUGCCCACAACUUUGGGAUAACGCUAGGAAACUGGUGCUAAUACUGGAUAUGUGCCCCUGCUGCAUGGUGGGGGUUGGAAAGCUCCGGCGGUUGUGGAUGGACUCGCGGCCUAUCAGCUUGUUGGUGGGGUAGUGGCCUACCAAGGCGGCGACGGGUAGCCGGCCUGAGAGGGUGACCGGCCACAUUGGGACUGAGAUACGGCCCAGACUCCUACGGGAGGCAGCAGUGGGGAAUAUUGCACAAUGGGCGCAAGCCUGAUGCAGCAACGCCGCGUGCGGGAGGACGGCCUUCGGGUUGUAAACCGCUUUCAGCAGGGACGAAGCUUUUUGUGACGGUACCUGCAGAAGAAGCACCGGCUAACUACGUG